GUAUGCUCGGGGUCACGGGGGAUGCCCUGCUCUUUUCUCCAAAAGUAUUGUGGAUCGAGUAAAAUGCCGGUGACUGGCCCGCAGCACGUAUGCAGCGCUUAUACGGCUGCCAGGAUAGAACUGCAACGAGUUCACUGACUCAACGAGGGCGAACACGCGCAAGUUUGCGUUAUUUCAUAUCGUCAACUGCACCAGAACUUGGGGGUUGGUUUUUCGGUCUCCUGUGUCGCGUCUCCAACUUUAAAUACGCUGGUCUCUCGUUUCGCUCCGAUUUCGUGAGCAUCAGUCAGAGGAUCGUGAUAACAGGGCCAAAUUCUCGUUCAUAGGAUUUCCGGUUGGCAUAGACACGUGAUAGGCGCAGGCGAAAGUUUCGAUCGAAUCUUCAUUGGCCAUGCUCACCUAUUUGUUUGCGGCAUCGGCGUACGCUUUGCAGCGAUCACACCCGACUAUGGUCAGAUGCUGCCUUGUCUCCAGCGUGCUUCCUCGUACGAGUACUGCCCUCCGGCGCUUGAACUGUUGCUGCAUCGCUCUGUACACGCACUAGACGAGUACAGAAGACUCCCCGUCGAUGCCCUCGACCGUUUUCGCGUCUGGUGCCGUACCCGAAGAUCACGAGCUUCGUCAGUGGCGAUGCCCCCGACGAGUACUCUGUAUGCGUCAUAUGCGAGUGCGCACUGUUCCAUGCCAUUGAAGAUUUGUGGAUUGCGGUGUUCGCCAUGGUGGUAGGGAUUUGGAAGGAAAAUGCAGGUUGGAGAACUUGCCGAGAACUAUCGAUCCGGUGGCGUUCUCUUCAUGGAAACCUGUGAAGCUUUCCCCAUUGGAAGCCGUCUCCGCUAUGUGUAGAGUACGAAUCCAUGAACACUUUUCAUGCAAACAGAAGACAGGGUAGCCUCUCUGGGAGCAUAUCCCCUGAAUUGUAUCGUGCUGCGGUUGAAUCCGCCGAUUCAUCGACGGGCACACAGAGAGAAGCACCUGUCUUUCGACCCGCGUCGAGUAUUUGACAUGCGCUUGGGAAGAAGUCGUCAAGGAAGGUCGUCGAGAUUCUCUCCUCAUCGAAGCAGGGACGCGCAUAGCUGUGCUCCUCGGUUACCUUGAAACAGAAAGAUCGAGUUCUAGGAAACUGUAUGAAUUGAGCACGCGAUAUUUACGGAACGGAGAAGAGUCAAGGCUUGUUGUUCUGCAUUGCGUUAAAAUAUCGGUUAUUAUAAGAGCCCUUGUACGAAUCUGUCGCAUGUCACUGUGAUGAUGGUGAGGUGACGAAUUCUACUGGGACUUUGUCGAAGGGGCCGUCCCGGAGAAAACAACCGCCGAGAAUCGUAAACCAAGGUAUGCAUCCAAGAACGCCAAUUCCCGCACUUCGAAAUUAGAGGCGCAAUAUCAACACAAGUUCGCAGAGAAAAUCGACAGAUAGAAACAGAACGAGCAGUUCAGUUCGCGAUGGUAGUUCGACACCAUUGUGGAGCGCAGCAGCGUAUCGCGCUCGUUCGACUGUACCUGGACGAGUUCGGAUAAUGUGCAGUCGGGCACACGAACCAGCCCGGGCAGAACUUGGUCCAGGCUCACCUGGGAUGCUGGAGUGUCCUGAGGCGCAACUGGGUAUGCCCGUUUGCCGAAACGAUUCAUUGUCGUUCGUUGGCACUCGUUUAGAGAGACACCCAGCUGCUAGACAUGUGUGCACCAUGCGUCCUUGGUGCGUGCGAGCGACGAAUAUCCCAAUGUCGUCGGAUCCCGUGGAUGACAACCACGCAGCAUCGACUCGUUACUCGUUCGACGCACUAGUUGAUGCCGCGGGCGUGCCGCCAUCGCGUGCUAUAGCGCGUCCUGCGCCAAAGGCGAAUACCGCACCACGUGACUUGUCGGUCAUGUUCUUUGCCACUUCAUUGAUGAAGCCCGCAAAUCUAUGCAUCUUGCCUCCAUGCAACCGAUACCGUUGGCGGCCCCAGCGAGGUCUCUCGGAACGCUGUCGAAAAUCGUUCGCACGAGCCAUGUGGACGCUUCUGCUCUGUCCAGUGCUGGGCGCUACGGAAUCGAUGUUGGCACUGUCACGCCAUUUGUUGGUAUAUACGCUGGCGUCCAUAAUGCUCGACUACCCAUAAACGCGAACAAUGGAGAAAUCAAGCCAUAUUACAUAUUCUGUCUGAGCAUCAAUUACCCUGUCAUAUGAAGGUUCUAUCGAAAAUUUCGAGAGGCAUCUGCUCAGCUGGUAGCCCUGCGUCCGGAUCGGCUACAGCAAGUCGUUUGACGAGGUGCAUCGGGGCGAGAGCGGUGCCUCGCGAGACUUUGUCGCGUAAGGAGCUAUGCGAUAUCUGUUGGCGUCCUGAAUCUAUCGAUUAGCCGGAGACGAACUUGUUGGCUAGUGAUCUAUGCGCGUAAAAACCGCGUUUGCCGAUAGUGACAAUGCCGUACACUGGAUAGAAGCUGGGAGCAUGGGCUGGUACGAAGACCAGGUCCAGCCAAAUUCCAGCUGUAUGCUCCCUGUUUCUUGUUCAGUCAUGGAACGCGACAUUGCUAACGAGCAGGACAGACGAAUUUGGUAAGGAGGAGCUUGGCAGAGAGACUCGAUGAACGACGCGUCGUCGAGCAAUCCUAACCGUUCGGCGAUUUGGGGCCGGCCUCACGCUUGACUCCCCGCUGGGCCUGAAGCCGUUGUCGCACGUGCUUGACUCCUCUUUACGGCCGGAGGUCUGCCCCUACUUCAUCAACGAUGCACAGACCUGCCAGUCUUCCCGAAUCAAGACUCAUCGAAUGAGACGAACACCAUCCAAACCUGUACUGACAAAAAUUCGCUUCUCAGUACGAAAUCAAUCGUGUCUUGUGCAACGCAUGGCGCUCUCCCAUACAGGCGUGCUUUGCCUCAACGUCCGCCCGUGUCCCUUCGUCACCGUUCGUAUCGAGGGCAUAGAGACGUCUCAUUCGACGGCAUCGUGAACAUUGUCUCUUACACAUCAUAUUCAGUAGAAUACCUUUCGAAGGAGAUCGUCGUCCAUUUCGUCAGAGUUUGACCGGUUCUCCUCUAGGAUGCGUGACGUUCAGAGCCAGCGUCGACGACGAGCAGCGUCAUUCGACGUUGCUAUGCCCGUUGAAAUACUGACAAGUAACGCCAUUCUAUAUAUGACAGCGAUGACACCUUAGAGCCUUUCCAGGACCUCUGUCCAGACAUCAUCGCCACCACCAUCAUCAGAUAUUCUAUUCAUAGAAUACCUAGAAGAAAAAAAAACAGCG
rnacentral:misc_RNA from 1 species